rnacentral:rRNA from 1 species
ACUAGAGUAGCACUCGCAUAUCAAUAAGCGGAGGAAAAGAAACUAACAAGGAUUCCCCUAGUAACGGCGAGUGAAGCGGGAAGAGCUCAAAUUUGAAAUCUUAAAGGGUUUCCCUUUACGAAUUGUAGUUUAAAGAAGUGUUUUCUGUUGAGGUUUUGGUAAAAGUUCUUUGGAAUAGGACAUCAUAGAGGGUGAGAAUCCCGUAUUUGACCUUUACUUUCAACUUUGUGAUACACUUUCAAAGAGUCGGAUUGUUUGGGAAUGCAGUCCAAAAUGGGUGGUAAAUUUCAUCUAAAGCUAAAUAUUGGCGAGAGACCGAUAGCGAACAAGUACCGUGAGGGAAAGGAUGAAAAGAACUUUGAAAAGAGAGUUAAACAGUACGUGAAAUUGUCAAAAGGGAAGCGUUUGACACCAGUGUUGUUUUUCUGAAAAUCAAUUAAAGAACUGUUUAUGCUAAGCUGUUUAGACUUUAUCAGCUAUCUGUUUAGUUUUGAGCUUUUCUUUAAUGCACUUUUCAGUUAACAAGUCAACAUCAAUUUCUUUUGCUGUAAAAAAGCUUGAGGAAGGUGGCUUGAGAUUCGUCUUAAGUGUUUAUAGCCUCUUGCCUAUGCAGUCGGAGAGAUUGAGGUCUGCAGCGUAGAUCCUUCGGGGCUAAAUGCAUUUGUGCUAAGUUAUAGCAUUUUAUAGACAACUUGUUGACUAUGAUUUGUCUUGUAGCUUACUCGCUUAUGUUAUUUUACCUACGCUUAGGAUGUUGAACUCUAUCACACACAG